GACGAACGCUGGCGGCGUGCUUAACACAUGCAAGUCGAACGAUGAAACCUAGCUUGCUAGGUCGAUUAGUGGCGAACGGGUGAGUAACACGUGACUAACCUGCCCCUUUCUCUGGGAUAACGCUCCGAAAGGAGUGCUAAUACCGGAUACUCACAUCGAGGCACAUGCCUUGGUGUGGAAAGUUUUUCGGAAAGGGAUGGAGUCGCGGCCUAUCAGCUUGUUGGUGAGGUGACGGCUCACCAAGGCGACGACGGGUAGCCGGCCUGAGAGGGCGACCGGCCACACUGGGACUGAGACACGGGCCAGACUCCUACGGGAGGCAGCAGUGGGGAAUAUUGCACAAUGGGCGCAAGCCUGAUGCAGCGACGCCGCGUGAGGGAUGAAGGUCUUCGGAUUGUAAACCUCUUUCAGUAGGGACGAAGCGAAAGUGACGGUACCUAAAGAAGAAGCACCGGCUAACUACGUGCCAGCCGCCGCGGUAA
rnacentral:rRNA from 1 species